UACAGGGGGGGCAAGCGUUGUUCGGAAUUACUGGGCGUAAAGGGCUCGUAGGCGGCCAACUAAGUCGAACGUGAAAUCCCUGGGCUCAACCCAGGAACUGCGUCCGAUACUGGUUGGCUUGAAUCCGGGAGAGGGAUGUGGAAUUCCAGGUGUAGCGGUGAAAUGCGUAGAUAUCUGGAGGAACACCGGUGGCGAAGGCGACAUCCUGGACCGGCAUUGACGCUGAGGCGCGAAAGCCAGGGGAGCAAACGGG
rnacentral:rRNA from 1 species